UACGUAGGGGGCAAGCGUUGUCCGGAUUUAUUGGGCGUAAAGAGCGUGUAGGCGGCUUUACAGGUCCGUUGUGAAAACUCGAGGCUCAACCUCGAGACGCCGGUGGAAACCGUAAGGCUAGAGUCCGGAAGAGGAGAGUGGAAUUCCUGGUGUAGCGGUGAAAUGCGCAGAUAUCAGGAAGAACACCCGUGGCGAAGGCGGCUUUCUGGGACGGUACUGACGCUGAGACGCGAAAGCGUGGGGAGCGAACAGG
rnacentral:rRNA from 1 species